CGAUGAUACGCGAGGAACCUUACCUGGGCUUAAAUGUAGAGUGCAUUUUUUAGAGAUAGAAAUUCCUCGGGCUUCUGCAAGGUGCUGCAUGGUUGUCGUCAGCUCGUGCCGUGAGGUGUCGGGUUAAGUCCCAUAACGAGCGCAACCCUUAUCGUUAGUUGCCAUCUGGUAAUGCAGGGGACUCUAGCGAAACUGCCACCGUAAGGUGAGAGGAAGGUGGGAUGACGUCAAAUCAGCACGGCCCUUAUGUCCAGGGCUACACACGUGUUACAAUGGUCGGUACAGAGGGCAGCUACCUGGUGACAGGAUGCUAAUCUCGAAAACCGGUCUCAGUUCGGAUCGAAGUCUGCAACUCGACUUCGUGAAGCUGGAUUCGCUAGUAAUCGCGCAUCAGCUAUGGCGCGGUGAAUACGUUCUCGGGCCUU
rnacentral:rRNA from 1 species